rnacentral:tRNA from 1 species
GUCCCGUAGUGUAGUGGUUAACAUGCCUGCCUGUCACGCAGGAGAUCGCGGGUUCGAGUCCCGUCGGGACCG